AAGCACUAAAGUGUAUAUUAAACACCAAAACACAAACAACAAGUAAUAUUAAAAACCUACACUCUUACGGGACCUCAAGGGAAUUGGAUUCCCAAGCAACCACAGUUUCUAAGGUUGUUAUCAACACAAGUGAUGUCCACACUUGCCACAAGGAUUCCACCUUGAAAGACACUCUCAAAGAGUUUACAAAAUAUAUCAUCAAAGUCUAAUGGACAAAAUUACCUAAAGGUUCUAUUUAUAA
rnacentral:lncRNA from 1 species